UACAGAGGGUGCGAGCGUUGUCCGGAAUCACUGGGCGUAAAGGGCGCGUAGGCGGUCUGCUAAGCGUGUGGUGAAAGCUCGGGCUCAACCCGAGUCGGCCAUGCGAACUGGUGGACUGGAGCAUGUCAGAGGCAGGCGGAAUUCCGGGUGUAGCGGUGGAAUGCGUAGAGAUCCGGAAGAACACCGGUGGCGAAGGCGGCCUGCUGGGACAUUGCUGACGCUGAGGCGCGACAGCGGUGGGAGCAACGA
rnacentral:rRNA from 1 species